AAAAAAAGUCAGAUUGGAUGCACAGAAAAAUGGCCCAAAUUGUUUAAUGACUAGAAGAAAUAUAGGAGCAGCAAGAAUGUGAUGUGAAGAGGGGAGGGCCUCCAUGACCGGUGUCUGCAGAGCCAGGGGUACAGGCACCCAGUGUUGUGGCCUGGCACCACUGGCCUCUCAGAGGGUGGGUAGCACACUGUCCUUACCCGGAGGACAGCAGGCCUGAUCACCAGCUUUUCUACCUGUCCCUGUAAGCAUCACGUUGCUAGAAGAAAAUCUCAUGCCAGAGCUUGGACCAUCCCUAGCUCAGAGGUUAGGGGUUGUCUCUUGGUGACCUACAUGAAAAAAUAGGUCCAGAUCAGAGUUCCUGAUGCAGAGCACUCAUCCACUCUUUCAAUCGUUGGAGGAGAGGCCUGGUUUUAGGUAAACCUAACCUCUUUGAGGAACCACAGAGCCCAAGACUGGAAACCUUCAGAAUCUGCUGGCCCCCAACCCUCCCUGGGGACCCCUGUGGCCUGUCUCACCAGAGCACUCUUCUGUCUGUAGAUGUCUCAGCGGCUCUACAAGGGAGUCCCAUUUCAGGUGUGGGGCUGGGCAUGGUCACUCCUGCUGGAUGUCUAGAAGAUGGAAACUAAGGACCUAGGAAAAUGCCAGAUACAGCCUUUCCACCCUCAUCCAGAGCAGGACAAACAGGCCAGGUGGUGUCAGGAGCCCAGGUCUCCAGCUGGAGGGAACGUCAACCCUGCAGUGGGAGCAGGGGCCCAUCGCACAUCCUAGGCACAGAUGCUAAUGUAGGCACUGCAGGUAAGCUGGGCUUGGUACCCUUCCCUGGCUUCAGAAAGAAGCCAACAAGGAGCGUUUUGCAGAAUGAAACCUCUUUUCCAUCCAGAAGCACUGCUGACUGUAGGUGGUUGCCGUUUGUGGCAGUGAGCAUUUUGUCCAUUCUGAGGUUGGAUUGGUUUCUUCUUUUGGCCUUGCCCUGCCCUACAGACCAUAAAGGAGAACAGCAAGAGGCCCCCAGCAAACAUCCACAGAUGGCCCUGGACAUCAGCCACAUUCUGAGAAACAUGUCAUGUUCUGGGAGGGCUAAGGCAUCAAGUUAGGCCUACGGGGCUGGAUGAUCCCAGGCAACGUGGGGCAAUCCAGAGCCAUGGGGGCUUUCCAUGGGAAUUGGGAGGUCCCAAGGCAGAGUCAGAGGUUCCACAGGAGGAGUCACAGAGUCACCAAGGGCUCUCCUGGCCCAGGGAGCAGUCAACACCAUGGACUGAACACCUGCUGGGCUCCAAGCCCUGGGCCAGGCUGCCCAUGUGGGGCCAGGAGGCAGCUCAGAGUGGGAGGCAGAGAAGUGUGCUCAGAGGGCACCUGUAUCUGGAUGUAAUGUGGUCCUGAGACUGGCUGGGAAGUGCUUCCAGGGUAUCAUAUGUGUUAUGCAGUUACUUCCUCUCCCCAGCCUUACCCUGUAGGAAUUCUAGUGACUAUGUUGCCACCAUCUUGGAGCUCCAUGCCCUCAUAGUGUAAUGGCACCAGCAGAUCUGCCUGUGCAUGGACUUCCUGUACUACCUCACUCCUGAGGGGAGAUGUUUCUGCAGGGCCUAUGACCUGGUGCACAACUUUAGACACCAUCAUCCUGGAGCAGCACUGCACCCUCACUAGCCAGAGUGUUGACAUCCUCAAGGCCAGGGCCACAUUCAAGACUUUGGACUUCAUUGAUGCACUUGUGCUGAGCAAGCUUAUCUGAUCUCCUGGGAUCUCUACUAGGAUGCUGGCAGCCCAGCCAGCUGGUCUGGCCCUGGACGUGCCUUCAGGUGCUGGUUAUGCUUUAUGACCUGUGUUGUGAUCCUGGUCAGAGUAAAACAUUCCAUGGGAACUCGGGCUGUGAGAAACAUCCUAACCACCUGACUGCAGAAACAUCCUUAUCACAUCCUGCUGGGCAAGGGCCCAACAGCCUGACUUCAGGAACAUCCUUAUCAUCUUCUACUGAGCAGCAAGCUAUACUGUCCAGAGCCCUCCCUCCCAGCCCCAUGAUUACCCCAGCCUGUAAGUGGCAGUGGGCGCUGACACUAAGCUGGUUUCCCCCUCCGCAGGGUUUUGCUAGUAAUAAACCUGUGUUGCUGUUGAAGCGGCCAAUCUCUGUGUGUGUGUGUGUGUGUGUG
rnacentral:lncRNA from 10 species